UUGAACGCUGGCGGCAGGCCUAACACAUGCAGGUCGAACGGUAACAGGAAGCAGCUUGCUGCUUCGCUGACGAGUGGCGGACGGGUGAGUAAUGUCUGGGAAACUGCCUGAUGGAGGGGGAUAACUACUGGAAACGGUAGCUAAUACCGCAUAACGUCGCAAGACCAAAGAGGGGGACCUUAGGGCCUCUUGCCAUCGGAUGUGCCCAGAUGGGAUUAGCUAGUAGGUGGGGUAACGGCUCACCUAGGCGACGAUCCCUAGCUGGUCUGAGAGGAUGACCAGCCACACUGGAACUGAGACACGGUCCAGACUCCUACGGGAGGCAGCAGUGGGGAAUAUUGCACAAUGGGCGCAAGCCUGAUGCAGCCAUGCCGCGUGUAUGAAGAAGGCCUUCGGGUUGUAAAGUACUUUCAGCGGGGAGGAAGGGAGUAAAGUUAAUACCUUUGCUCAUUGACGUUACCCGCAGAAGAAGCACCGGCUAACUCCGUG
rnacentral:rRNA from 1 species